rnacentral:rRNA from 1 species
GACAGAGGGGGCAAGCGUUGCUCGGAAUCACUGGGCGUAAAGGGCGCGUAGGCGGGAUGGCAAGUCGGUCGUGAAAUCCUUCGGCUCAACCGAAGAACGUCGGCCGAUACUGCCGUUCUUGAGGGAUGCAGAGGAGACUGGAAUUCCCGGUGUAGCGGUGAAAUGUGUAGAGAUCGGGAGGAACACCGGUGGCGAAGGCGGGUCUCUGGGCAUUUCCUAACGCUGAGGCGCGAAAGCGUGGGGAGCAAACGGG